rnacentral:lncRNA from 1 species
GAGGGCGUCGACGGGGGGGACAGCACAGCAGGGGGAGGACCUCUAACUGCAGAAGGAGGACUUAGGCCGGGAGGCGAAGGAUUUGUUCCUGUUGGAGGAGGUGGAGCCGGAGGAGAAUCAGUUGGUGGGGUUGGGGCAGGUGGAGAAUUUGUUGGUGUGGGUGGAGGUGGAGCCACUGCCGUAGGGGGAGGAACAUCUGGAGUAACUGGAACUGGAGGAGUUGCCGCUGGAGGGGUAGGGUCUGGUGGAGGAGGUACCACAGCAGGAGGAAUGGCAGGGGGAGGGGAAAUUACAGGCGCUGGAGGAGGAGGAGGAAGUUCGACAGGAGGUGGUGCAAUAACGGGUGGAGGAACAAUUGCAGGAGGAGGGGAAACUACAGGUGGAGUCGCUGCAACGGGUGGAACCACAGCAACCGGAGGAGUAGUAGAAUUGACCGGAGG